UAAACACUGAUUGGGCCACUAGCAUUCACGUACGUAGAUAGUCGGGUGAUACCCGCACACAUGUAAUGUCACAGUCUAGCUCGCACGUCUCUCUGUCCUCGCUCCCGUCGCACGAACCACUCGCCCUUGUUCCCGCACGCGUUCGUGAUGCAGCCGCCGCUGCCUACUGCCCCGGCCACCGCCGGCCGUCUCCGGCGCUGCCGUUGCCAGGCACAGCCUCCCCGUCCUCUCCUCGCUCGCCUCCACCAACAACCCCCUCUCCUUGAGGCCUCUGGCGCGUGUACUCACCUCCGGGAACCCUAGCUACUGCUGGUCGAUUCGGCCGUCGCCGGGCAUCUCCGGCGCCGCCGUUCGCCGGCGAGGCUCCGCCUCCUCCUGAUCUAUCUUAUGCCCUACUGGAUUUGAUCCCCCGCCCCAACUCGAAAACCCUAGCCGCUGUCCGUGGUUCCAACUGUCGCCGGCGACCAUUAGCGCCACCGCGCGUCGAUGGUUAACCGCUCCGGCCUUCUUCACCAUCUAACUCCACUUCGACGCCCUCUGAUUCCGCGCUGGACGGAAUCCCCAAUCCCUUCGGGUUGGCUCGCCGUCGGACGCUUCUGACGUCGCUGCUGCUUGGAAUGGCUUCGGCGGCCGCCACGAGGUUCAGCCCCUCCUGCGCGCGCGGCCACGCGAAAUCCAAGCCGGUGUGGCUCAGUUCCGUCGGCAUGGCCCCAGCUGCCACGCCUCCGGCUGCUCGUCUCGUGAACUACCUGCAUCUUGACGCCGGCAGGACGGCAUCCUCUGCAACCCCGGCGUCAUCGACCCGCAGCUGUUGCGUUGCUAUGCUGGUUGUUGGUGAUGAUUUGUGGUGGUGGGGCUGGCAUGAUGGAGCUGCUGUUGCUGCAACACCAACAUCUCCUUUGGCGUCGGCGGGAAGGUGCUGCGGUAGUGGUGGAGCUGCUGAUGAGACGUGGGUGUGGUGAUGUUGCUGGUGGUGGCAUGGUGUUGUGAUGCUGGUGAUUACUUCCUCCUUGACGCCAGUCGGAUGGCGUCUGCGACCGCAACCCCGGCGUCGACUUUGUCUGCAACCCUACAACAUGAUAUCUUGGCCUUCUGGACUGUUAAUUGAUCUUCUUCUUGUGGUCAGCCUGCUCCUCCUAGAUUCUUGAUUUGUUUCCUAUUUCUUCUAAGAAAUCAUCGGUGGUGUUUGUUUAUGGCGGUGGAUGUGAUCUUGCUGGUAGAUCAUGCACAAGGCUGGCAAGAGGAUCUAUUGAUGUUCUUCUUGAUAUUUGAGUGGAUUUUUGCUAGUGCAAACGAUGGCUAGCUGGGCUGCUGGUGACUAAGGUGAAUGUGAGCAAAGUGUGAUGCGGUUGGCUAUUGCUUUGCUUUUGUAGUGCUGGGGUUUGCUGGGGAAGUGACAGCACAUGAUGUGCAUGCAGUGACUGUGCUGCCUGUGUGUGUCCUGUUUCUAGUGACUGUGCUGCCUGUGUGUAUCCAACCUGAUCUUCUUUGCCUCAUAGUGCAAGGCAUACGGUUGGCUUGUGCUUAUCUAGUGCUGCCCUUUAUUUUUGGUACUGCCAAGUGUAUAAUAUAUGUGAGCUUAAUAAGAUCAAGUGUGACUAUUAUGUUAAUUAAGACUUUGCUUAAUUAGCAAGUGGCUUCUAAUAUAUGGACUAGAAUCA